CAGCAGCCACGGUAAUACGAAGGGUGCAAGCAUUAAUCGGAAUUACUGGGCGUAAAGCGUGCGUAGGCGGUGAGUUAAGUCUGCUGUGGAAUCCCCGGGCUCAACCUGGGAAUGGCAGUGGAUACUGGCUCGCUAGAGUGUGUCAGAGGAUGGUGGAAUUCCCGGUGUAGCGGUGAAAUGCGUAGAGAUCGGGAGGAACAUCAGUGGCGAAGGCGGCCAUCUGGGACAACACUGACGCUGAGGCACGAAAGCGUGGGGAGCAAACAGGAUUAGAUACCCGCGUAGUCCCUGUCUCUUAUAC
rnacentral:rRNA from 1 species